rnacentral:rRNA from 1 species
GAGUUUGAUCCUGGCUCAGGAUGAACGCUAGCGGGAGGCCUAACACAUGCAAGUCGAGGGGUAACGGAAGUAGCUUGCUACUAGACGACGACCGGCGCACGGGUGAGUAACGCGUAUGCAACCUACCUCAAACAGGGAGAUAGCCCAGAGAAAUUUGGAUUAAUAUCCCAUAGUAAGUAAUUAUCGCAUGAUAAUUAUUUUAAAGCUCCGGCGGUUUGAGAUGGGCAUGCGUGGCAUUAGUUAGUUGGUGGGGUAACGGCUCACCAAGGCGUCGAUGCCUAGGGGUUCUGAGAGGACAGCCCCCCACACUGGUACUGAGACACGGACCAGACUCCUACGGGAGGCAGCAGUGAGGAAUAUUGGUCAAUGGAGGCAACUCUGAACCAGCCAUGCCGCGUGCAGGAAGACUGCCCUAUGGGUUGUAAACUGCUUUUAUACAGGAAGAAACACCUUUACGUGUAGAGGCUUGACGGUACUGUAAGAAUAAGGAUCGGCUAACUCCGUGCCAGCAGCCGCGGUAAUACGGAGGAUCCAAGCGUUAUCCGGAAUCAUUGGGUUUAAAGGGUCCGUAGGUGGAUUAGUAAGUCAGAGGUGAAAUCCUGCAGCUCAACUGUAGAACUGCCUUUGAUACUGCUAGUCUUGAGUCAUUAUGAAGUGGUUAGAAUGUGUAGUGUAGCGGUGAAAUGCAUAGAUAUUACACAGAAUACCGAUUGCGAAGGCAGAUCCCUAAUAAUGUACUGACACUGAUGGACGAAAGCGUGGGGAGCGAACAGGAUUAGAUACCCUGGUAGUC